ensembl:lncRNA
UUUUUCAGUGAACACAGCGACAUCCUCCUUUAAGGCUGACGUCGUUUCCCUGAGUCACCGCGGGGCAGCGGCGCUCUGCGGCAGCUCUUCUUCACCCCAACGGCCCUCCGGCUCCUGAUGACCCACGUGGGUCCGAGCUGCCGCGACAUGACAGCUUUAGCCCCGCCUCCCGCACCGCUGACCACCAGUAGGAACUCAUCUCCCGCUCGAUCCCCGACCAAUCACAGCAGCCCUCCAGAGAAGGAGGAGGUGCUGCGGGACAAGGAGCGCCGCGCCCAGCAGCAGCUGGACCGCUGCGCCGAGGAGCGAGGGAGGAAGAUGGAGGUGCAGAAGAGGAAGGAGCAGCAGCGCCGGGCGGCCGCCGGCGAGAAGAGGCGCCAGCAGCAGGAGGCCGAGAAGGUCAGAGGCCGCGGCGCGUUAACGUAGUGAUGUCACAGCUGUGCUUAAUGUUCAGAAUGCCGAGGACCAAAAUUACUGCAGAUCUACAAAAUGAAGUAAACAAGCCCAAAGAUCGAACCAGUGACUUCAUGAGAUUAAUACAAACAAAAAUAUGGAAACUUGAAAAAAAAAAAAACUAAUCCCACCAAAAUUUUUACAUGCUGAAUUUGUAAUAAAUCAUAGUUCCAUUAAUCAUUUGUAGGGUUUGCUGCCACGUGAUCACCAUGACGAUCAUAACAAUUUAUUACACAUGUUUUCAGGUGUCAAUACACAGAAUAUAUAAAUAUAUCUGAUAUGAAACAUCAAUUAGUGCAUCACGACAACUUUCUCACGGCUUCUUCCUCUGAAAAAUAAUAAGUUUGCCUGUUUUUUCUGCCGCAGAAUGAAAUCCAAAGAGAGUGAAUUUAUAAUCACACAUCAGCCAGCGAACGAGGGCAUUGAUUCUUUGAUCCGUUUAUUGAUUUCUGGGCUAAAUCUUCAGGCGUCUCUAGUUGUGUCUUUCUGGUUGUGAUCUGUAAUUAUUGGAGCCACUUCAUGGUGUUUAUACGCUUUUUAUUUAUUGUUGCCAAAGAGCUCCAAUGAACAUGAUCAAUCACAGAUUAAAUACUCAUAGAAAUCUCCAGUUUAUUGCAGAGAAAAUGAGUAAACGGCGGCUCGUCAUCCUUCCUCCCUCUAGGCGCUUUGAAGCAAUAAAAAAUAAGAAGCUAAACACAAUGAAGAGACGCCAAUAAUUACAGAUCACAANNNNNNNNNNNNNNNNNNNNNNNNNNNNNNNNNNNNNNNNNNNNNNNNNNNNNNNNNNNNNNNNNNNNNNNNNNNNNNNNNNNNNNNNNNNNNNNNNNNNAUAUAUAUAUAUAUAUAUAUAUGUAAAUAUGUAUGACAAACAUACAAGAUAAAGAAUGUGGUUGUAAAUCAAAAAGAAGAUCAUUUUUGUUAUCAAUCAAUAGGUCAGGAAAUGAUAAAUGUAAUAUAUAAACUCAAGUAAAUGAAUAUUUACUGUACAAUAUAGUAAAAUUACAGGAGAGCACCUUUAAGCGAAGCUUACGUGUGAAUCAAUAAUAUUGUGUUGUUGUUGCGGCUUGUGCGUAUUUCAUAUUUUAUUACAAUGUGUGUGUGACAGAUAAAAAACCAUUGCAACCAUUAUCAAUAUCCAAUCCACCAGUCUGUGUGUGUGGGGGGGUCUCUGUCCCCUCCCCCCUCACUAAACUGCUCUGUGAGAUCGACUGAGAGGGGGAGAGGGCGGGGUGAGCGAUAUGUGAGGGAGGAGAGGAAGAAAGGGUGAGUCAGUGUUACCUAGAGACAGAGAGAGAGAGAGAGAGGGAGAGAGACACAGAGCGAGAGAAUGAGGUGUAGCAAGAGAGAGAGAGAGAGAGAUACGGAGAGAGAGAGAGAGAGAGAGAGAGAGGUAGAGAUACGGAGAGAGAGAGAGAGAGGUAGAGAUACGGAGAGAGAGAGAGAGAGGUAGAGAUACGGAGAGAGAGAGAGAGAGAGAGGUAGAGAUACGGAGAGAGAGAGAGUGUCAUGCAUCGCUGAGUGACAGCCGAGCCAGCCAUCGAGCGUCCGGUUCGCCGCCGGCAGACA